rnacentral:rRNA from 1 species
CCUACGGGUGGCAGCAGUGGGGAAUAUUAGACAAUGGGCGAAAGCCUGAUCCAGCCAUGCCGCGUGUGUGAAGAAGGCCUUCGGGUUGUAAAGCACUUUCAGUGGGGAAGAAAGCCUUGGGGCUAAUACCCUCGAGGAAGGACAUCACCCACAGAAGAAGCACCGGCUAACUCCGUGCCAGCAGCCGCGGUAAUACGGAGGGUGCGAGCGUUAAUCGGAAUUACUGGGCGUAAAGCGCGCGUAGGCGGUCUGAUAAGCCGGUUGUGAAAGCCCCGGGCUCAACCUGGGAACGGCAUCCGGAACUGUCAGGCUAGAGUGCAGGAGAGGAAGGUAGAAUUCCCGGUGUAGCGGUGAAAUGCGUAGAGAUCGGGAGGAAUACCAGUGGCGAAGGCGGCCUUCUGGACUGACACUGACGCUGAGGUGCGAAAGCGUGGGUAGCAAACAGGAUUAGAUACCCCAGUAGUC